ACGAACGCUGGCGGCGUGCUUAACCCAUGCCAGUCGCACGGAAAGGCCCUGCUUGCAGGGUACUCGAGUGGCGAACGGGUGAGUAACACGUGGGUGAUCUGCCCUGCACUUCGGGAUAAGCCUGGGAAACUGGGUCUAAUACCGGAUAGGAGCCAUUUUUAGUGUGAUGGUUGGAAAGUUUUUUCGGUGUAGGAUGAGCUCGCGGCCUAUCAGCUUGUUGGUGGGGUAAUGGCCUACCAAGGCGGCGACGGGUAGCCGGCCUGAGAGGGUGGACGGCCACAUUGGGACUGAGAUACGGCCCAGACUCCUACGGGAGGCAGCAGUGGGGAAUAUUGCACAAUGGGCGCAAGCCUGAUGCAGCGACGCCGCGUGGGGGAUGACGGCCUUCGGGUUGUAAACUCCUUUCGCUAGGGACGAAGCUUUUUGUGACGGUACCUAGAUAAGAAGCACCGGCUAACUACGUG
rnacentral:rRNA from 1 species